GACGAACGCUGGCGGCGUGCUUAACACAUGCAAGUCGAACGGGGUCAUUAGCAAUAAUGAUCUAGUGGCGGACGGGUGAGUAACGCGUGAGGAACCUGCCUUCAAGAGGGGGAUAACAUCGAGAAAUCGAUGCUAAUACCGCAUAAGACCACACUCCCGCAUGGGAGAGGGGUCAAAGCUAUAGCGCUUGAAGAUGGACUCGCGUCCCAUUAGCUAGUAGGCGGGGUAACGGCCCACCUAGGCAACGAUGGGUAGCCGAGCUGAGAGGCUGAACGGACACACUGGGACUGAGACACGGCCCAGACUCCUACGGGAGGCAGCAGUGGGGAAUAUUGGGCAAUGGGCGAAAGCCUGACCCAGCAACGCCGCGUGGAGGAAGAAGGUUUUCGGAUUGUAAACUUCUGUCCUCAAGGACGAAAAAAAUGACGGUACUUGGGGAGGAAGCCCCGGCUAACUACGUGCCAGCAGCCGCAGUAACAC
rnacentral:rRNA from 1 species